rnacentral:rRNA from 1 species
AUUGAACGCUGGCGGCAGGCCUAACACAUGCAAGUCGAACGAGUGGCGGACGGGUGAGAAAUGUCUGGGAAACUGCCUGAUGGAGGGGGAUAACUACUGGAAACGGUAGCUAAUACGGCAUACCAUCCGCUGUGCCCAGAUGGGAUUAGCUUGUUGGUGGGGUAACGGCUCACCAAGGCGACGAUCCAUAGCUGGUCUGAGAGGAUGACCGGCCACACUGGAACUGAGACACGGUCCAGACUCCUACGGGAGGCAGCAGUGGGGAAUAUUGCACAAUGGGCGCAAGCCUGAUGCAGCAAGGCCGCGUGUAUGAAGAAGGCCUUCGGGUUGUAAAGUUCUUUCAGCGGGGAGGCGUUACCCGCAGAGGAAGCACCGGCUAACUCCGUGCCAGCAGCCGCGGUAAUUC